rnacentral:rRNA from 1 species
AAACAUGUCUUUUUGAGUUAAUUUUAAAGUCUAACCUGCCCACUGAGAUUUUUUAAAUGGCCGCAGUAUUUUAACUGUGCAAAGGUAGCAUAAUCAUUAGUCUUUUAAUUGAAGGCUGGUAUGAACGGUUGGACGAAGUAUAAUCUGUUUCAUAUAAAAUUAUAAUAAAAUUUUAUGUUUUAGUAAAAAAGCUAAAAUAAAAUUAAAAGACGAGAAGACCCUAUAAAUCUUUAUAAUUAAUAAUAUAUAAAUUUUUUAGUUUUUUUUUAUUUUUUUAAUAUUAAUUAUUUUGUUGGGGUGAUAUUAAAAUUUAAUGAACUUUUAAUUUGUUAAAUCAUUAAUUUAUGAAUUAUUGAUCCAUUAAUUAUGAUUAUAAGAUUAAGUUACUUUAGGGAUAACAGCGUAAUUUUUUUGGAGAGUUCAUAUUGAUAAAAAAGUUUGCGACCUCGAUGUUGGAUUAAGAUAAAGAUUAGGUGUAGCUGCUUAAUUGUUGAAGUCUGUUCGACUUUUAAAUUCUUACAUGAUC